rnacentral:lncRNA from 1 species
UUUAUUACAGGGCCUCAGCAACCGGAUGAUACCGCGAGAGAGGACGCCUGACGUAAUUAAAGUGCGCGAACGGAAGUGGCGCGGAACAUGACGGAAAAUCAGUACGGUUGGUCCCUUAAGGACCAGCGGGAAAGAUAAAAGCUGGGGUUUAGUCUGUGCUGCGUGAAAUAUGUCUUGGCCUCACUUCCUGUCCUCUGAGCUGCCUGCAGCCGGGCGAGGUGGUGUUGAACUGUGUUUUUUGUGACGAAGCUUACUUUUAAGUUUCAUCCCUAAACUAAGUUGACCUGUUUCUUUAAGACGGCUUGCAAAAUGUGUUUUCCUCAAUGUGGGAUAUGGAAAGAAGCAGUUGCUCCUGUUAUUUUGAGCUAGUACCUGACGCUAUGAGAAAUUCUAAAAGAGCGAAUCAGAUCAUGCAACAUGAAUAACUAUGGAGGCUGAGUGAUCAAGAACAGAAGUUAAUAUUUUGGUGUUACAAACUUUCCACGGAUUAGGUGAAUAAGAUAUUUAUAAUUUGGUGUGUUCAUCUCAAGUUAUGGAUUACGAGUGC